rnacentral:snRNA from 1 species
UAGCGUUGCUAAUCGCUCAAGGUUGGAACGGUACGAAAAGAUUAGCAUGGCCCCUGUGCAAUGAUGACACACAAAUUCGUGAAGCGUUCCAUUUUUAA